rnacentral:misc_RNA from 1 species
GAUGAAGAACGUAGCGAAAUGCGAUAAGUAAUGUGAAUUGCAGAAUUUAGUGAAUCAUCGAAUCUUUGAACGCACAUUGCGCCCGCCAGUAUUCUGGCGGGCAUGCCUGUCUGAGCGUCAUUUCAACCCUCAUGCCCCUAGGGCGUGGUGUUGGGGAUCGGCCAAAGCCCGCGAGGGACGGCCGGCCCCUAAAUCUAGUGGCGGACCCGUCGUGGCCUCCUCUGCGAAGUAGUGAUAUUCCGCAUCGGAGAGCGACGAGCCCCUGCCGUUAAACCCCCAACUUUCCAAGGUUGACCUCAGAUCAGGUAGGAAUACCCGCUGAACUUAAGCAUAUCAAUAAGCGGAGGA